UUUGUUGACUAAUUUGUAGUGAUGUUUGAUUAAAUAACUUUCGUAUUCUUUCACAAAAUAUGAAUAUCGUUCGUUCGUUCGUUCUUACCCUUCAUGGGUGCGCUGAUCCAUUAUAGGCUAAAUGAUCGUUCUGACAAUGUGUGUUUUGGAUACCUGGCUUAGAAAAUGUAAUAUCGGUUUAUUUGGGUGCAGUCAGGUUUGACGUACUCCAUCAACGUCGGUCGUAUGUUUCACUAACAAUCCCCAAAUGUUGUUUCGUUAUCUAGAUUCUAGAGCUAGACUAGAAGGUGUGGAUUUGCGACAUUGUUUAAUAUGUGCAUGUUGAGCGCUAUUAUAUUGUGGAUUUUUCGUUAUGUAGUUUUUCCUUGCCGCCAUUUUCGCUCAACGACGAAAGUAGAAUCGAUAUGAAUUAAAUGCACUUGUGUUCUCUUGGCAUAAGCCUGAGCUUUUCGUCGGUAGUAACUCAAUUUCAAUUGAUUGUUCUUAUACUUCUGCUGACCGUGCUAUAUAUUCGAUUCACGAAAAUUGCACCUGCCAAGCAGUUUCUCAUCUCUUAGUUCUUACACUAAUUGCCCGUUUAUUUCUGCCAGGGCGGAACUCUCUUGGGAAGCUCGGGACUUUAUAUGACUCAUAAUGCAUAAGAUAGAAGGCUUAAGUUUUGAGUGAUUUCUGUUGGUAUGUUCCCGCGCUGUAGCAAAUCUUUCGUUUGGAAAUGAUGGUUAGAGACUGCUUUCGUUUUCGACCUACGUUGGUCCUUGGCCUAAGCAUGAUCUAGCAAUGGCCUAUUAAUAAAUGCUCAUCGAAUCCCAAAGGUGAAGCACGAGUCAGUUAAUCAAAAUCUGAUACAGCUGUCCAUCGACGCAACCGUCAAAGCUCCUCCAGGGAAAAGAAAUAGGCGGUUGAUAUUUUUUGUUUCUUUGUACGUUCAUCGAGGUUAGACAAUUCAUUGUUCGCAUUUUUGAUAACCGAUGCAGAGCAGAGUUGGCUGAAAGCCCUUUAUUUUCGCGGACGUUAUGCCAUCGGUGGAAAUUUUGGCUUUGAUUUAAAUGUAUAUGCGCCUACGACUGCCAUAACUAUUGAUCGUCGUCGUCAGCAAAAAUUAGCAAUUGUGCAUCGAACCUCAAAACCAAAGUAUUUUGUUACGCUUAUGCCAGUCGUCCAGAACUUUUCCGAACACGGUAUGUGAUUAUUCCGUCAGCAUCUAGCGUGAAAAAUUACGCUUGCUCUUUCUUGUGCGUUUUAGCACAUUAGCUACGAAAAUUGAUCGUAAUCAUUGGCGAGAGGCGGUGAUAUGGCCAAACUUUCUAUUGAUUUUCUUCCCGCUGGCAGUCGACGACCUUUAGGAAGUUUAAAGCCGAUUUGCAUUUUAUAUAAGAAUAUAUUCUGCGGGUAAGUUACAGGCGGUCGCACUUCAGAGUAAUAAAUAUAAUUAAUCUGCGUUUGCCUUGUCGGGGCGUAGCGUGACAUAUGUUACAAAGGGUGAAGACUGACACCGUCACAGCCGCUCAUUUUUUCUCUCUCGGAGGCGACGAUAUUGAAGCGGCGGUUAGCACUUGCGCUUUUAUAAUCUGACUGUAACUCUUCAGCCUUGUAGUUGAAUGUUUCAUCAGUUAUAAGGUUUAUUAUACGCUGUACCACGAAGAAAAGACCAGUAGUUACAAAGAAUAUAAUUGGAUUUAUUUAUCCUAUUACAAAUACCGGAUAUUGCUAUAUUGCAGGGGAUUUCGUAUUAAUAGCUCGGGAAGUAUUGCGUGAACGUACUUAGAUUUACAUACAGUUUUGUAUUAUGCUUGGCACGUCCAGUACGGAUUGGACCACAUCGCAGCCUACCACUAUUUCAAACCAGCAAAUGUCUCCAAUUCCUCAGCAGAUACCAGUUCAAAUAAAACAGGAAAUCGAAGCGAAAAGCAGUACUACAACAGUGUCCAGUACAUCUGUUGUUGCGUCGGCACGUGAAGAAUACACAACUGCAGCUCAGGCUACAGCAUACCAAAUUCAAAUCCCGCCUCCGGCUUUUGGAGGAAUACCGGGCGCUAAUAUUCCUUCGCAUCAAUUUCCCCACGGUGUGCCUGUUCCAGUAUCAGGAUACCCUAUCAAUAGACUACAGAUGACCGCACAGACUAUCCCAGGGCAAGUGAAGCUUGAGUCAAUGGCACAACUUCAACAUCCAGGAAUGUUUCCCCAAGCUUAUAUUAUACCUAAUGGUCAUGCGGCACAAGAGUUUGUUCAAGCACAGCAGGUUGCGACAGGCCAAGUUGUUGGUUCAGCGGCACAGGUUGUCCCUCCACCACCCCCGGUGGAAGGAACAAUACCUGGUCAACUAGCAAUGCCAAAUGGUCAGCAAAUGGUUAUGGUUGAUCCAAAUGGCAUUCCUGGCUCAGUGGCAGCCAUGCCAUCUUUGCCAGGAAAUGCACAAGUAAUCUCCACAGCCGCAAGUACAACAGGCGAAACUCCAGGUGCAACGACGUCAUCAGCAAGUGAUGGUUCGGUAGCAUCUCAUGCCGGCGACUCCUCAGGACAAAGCAAAAGGCUGCAUGUCUCCAAUAUUCCCUUCCGAUUUAGGGAUCCUGACCUGAGAAAUAUGUUCGGGAAAUACGGCAAUAUUGCGGAUGUUGAGAUCAUUUUUAAUGAAAGAGGUUCUAAGGGUUUCGGAUUCAUAACAUUUGAAACGAAAGAAGAAGCAGAACGUGCUAAAAAAGCAUUGAAUGGAAAUAUUGUAGAAGGUCGAAAAAUUGAGGUGAAUGAUGCCACAGCCAGAGUACAGACAAAGAAACCAGCUUUACCUCUAAUUAAUGGUUUGAAAAUGGCUCAGAUGGUGCCUAAUCUGAUUGCAACCGACCCAUAUGCUGCUGCAGUAGCAAGGUUGAAUCCAGUGACAGCAAAUGCCUACAGACAAGCUGCCUUAUUAGGUGGCAGAGGAAGAAGCAUUUAUCAAACAACAGCACUCAGACCCGGUACCGCUAUUGCUGCACCACAACUCGCAGCUUUACAAUCGAAUGGACUUAUACCAGUGGUUUAUGAAAGCUAUCCAACUAUGGCUCUAUCUGGAGCAGUAGCAGGACAGGAAUUCCCACAAGCACAAACAUUCUGGCAAUCUGCCGGAAUACCAGGCCUCGCAGCAGCACAAGGUACACCUACAGCUUAUGCAACACUACAGCAAAUGCCACAGUAUGCAGCAACGAGGUACAUAGCUGCUGGCACAGGAGCAGUUGCUGCUGCACAACCGGGUGGUACACUUGCUUAUGCAGCUCUACCAGGACAAGUCACCAUGGCCCAGGCUGUUUACUCAAAUGCAGCUACUGCUUACACAACAACGGCAGGAGCUGUAGCUUACCAAGCAGGUGCAGUAGCUGGAGCCACACCGACUGCAGUCUAUGCUGAUCCAUACCAACAGGCGACGCUCACUCCAACCGCACAAGCUUCUGCUUUUGGCCUCGCUACAGUUUUGUAGCACAAAUCCCAAAUCAGUAUUUUCUAAACCGCACAUGCCAAAACUUGCGCAUUGAGGAGGCAAAGGCGUAAGGUAGACUGCACUGGCUGCUUACAGAGGAUAUCGUUUUUCACCUUACUGAUGUUGACCACGUUGUCAUGGCAAUGAUCGGCACCAAUGAUGUCAGAAAAAGAACACAAAUAUUUUCAGACAAUUUGGUGACUUUCUCCUGUUGCAUUGUCUUUUUGUGAAAGGCCAUGUUCAGCGUUGUCCGGUACAAUAUUUGUCCAGUGCUUGCUCAAUGGUUUUCAAACCCUCCAUACAUUGUAGUACAGCAUCUUGCACUUGCUCUGGUCAGAUCGCAAAUGUACAAUCAUUAUCUCCGUCCAUGGUCGACAGAUGCAGCCUGACGUCGUUCCUCCAGUCGCACAAAGCAGUACCUUAUUCUCGGUUUUAAAGACAAAUAAACACACAUAAUCCAUCCAUAUACUGUUUUAAUAUGCAAUCUUCCCGACCUUGCGUUAUAAAUAUUUCCUUUUUUACAAUUUUCUGCUUUUUGACCAUUUUUUUUCUUUGUAUUUUAUUUUUUAAACUCGUUGGAUAUUUUGUUUGCAAUCACGAGGCAGCAUUUUUGUUUUAACAUAAUAACGAGCUGAUUUUUUUAAUCAGUAAUUUGUUACUGAUCAAUUCUCGACCAACUAACGUGUCUAAACAAGAUAUAAGAUAUUCUACUUAAUCAUUUUCUGUGAGGUGUAGGCCCAUGAGCUCUGCUGUUUAAAUUGCAUUUAAAUCAAAUUUCGAAAUGAAAUUGUAUUCAGUACCCCAUUUUCUCGAUUUUGCUGUCCUAAUAAUUUGUUUGAAUCAUUACCAAUAUGACUUGAGUUUCGCAUUGAGAUGUUUCAAAGAAGCAGUGCAUUUGAUCAUAUCAUCAUUCGAAACUUAUUUUCGGACAAUUUUUCUGUCCAUAAAAUAUGUUCAAUGUUUUACUCAUAUGUACAAUGUAUGUAUUAUAUGUACAAUACUAUACGUUGCCUGUAUCAUACUAUAAAGUGAUUCAAAUUUGAAAUGCAUUUUUCUAAAGACUACCCUUUGAAUUUGCUCCUGUUUAGUUGGUUGGUCGAGCGUUAUCAACAAUGUAGAUCUGAUUUUUAUUUCUUCAUCUCUCAAUCGUGUUUCAUCUCACUACCAGCACUCUCUCUCAAUAUAUCAAAGCUGCUAGAAUGAACUUUGCAUACUUUUUAUUCAAUCUUGUUGGGCUGCUGAAUGAAAUGGAUAUUUAUAUUGUUGAUUCAUUGCGUGUUAUUUACUUAAAAGAACACAAAUUUAAUAUGACAUAUAUUUGUAUGUUAUUUUACUUGAGGUUUAGUUUAUACUAAAAGGUAUAGGCUUUCUGUAAUUUAUCCAUGGUAAUAGCAUUCGUUGUUUCCUAAUGUUACUGCUACCUAUUUAUUUGUACUUAUCACAAUUCAACAAACGUAAUUUUGCGUUUAAGUCGAGCUCAACUUCAUGUCUCAAAUUAGUAAAAAAGAAGAUUAAGAAUAGUGUUGCAGCAAAAUAUAAGUUUAUCUUUCCUACAUUGGUAUGUCAAAUCAUAGCCCAAUCUCAAAAUAGUUCGAAAAAGAUUCCCUAUGGUUGUGAAUAGCAAUGUUAUGCUGCAUAUAUUGAUAGUGGUUACUGUUGUUCUUGUUGGGAAAGCGUGCAAUGGCUUAUGCCUCCACAAGAAUUUAUAGAAGGAAUAGUUUUAUGCUUCGUUUUUAAAGAUUAUCCUGGUUUUGGCAAUGUGUUAUCAUAUUAGCAAUUAUACUUACUAAAUAGCUCAUUUACUGCCAGAUGGUUGUGUAUAUAUAUAGUUUUGGUAUAGAAUAUCAUUUUUUGCAUUUUGGUGACUUAGGGUGUAUUGCGAUUAGUUGCGUCAUUUUCCUAUUCCCGAACAUGCAAGUUGAUUUCGUGAUAAAAAUUUAUUCUUGUAAUUGACAAUUUGAACAUAUUAAAUCUGAUUAUAGCAUCAAGUAAUUCUGGAUUACUAAGCAUAAGGGCCUAAUUAAAAUUUUUAAUAAUAAUUGUGAACAUAAUGCCGUAAGUAAUUGCACUGUACAAUGGUGAAUGUAACAAUCUUCGUUUGUCUUUAUUGUAUUGGAACUAUCGAAUUCCAUGUUUGUCAAAAUUCAUGGCAAGACCAUUCAUUGUUAGACCGAGUUCACAUUAAUCAUGGACCUCUUUGAGAGAAAACAUAUGACAUUGCCUUGUGUUAUGAAUAUAUGUAGUGAGAAGAAGAUUUCUUACAUCAGUUAUCUGUAGCAAUCUUUUAUGAACUAAAAAAGUAUAUUUUAUUGUCAGAAAUGGGGAUUCUUUUUCGUCAUGGUUGCAAUCCUGGCAGAACCAUAUCUUGAAGUUUGACCAUUGAACCGUAACGUUGCUGUCAGUGGAAUCCCCAAGAAUGCUUAAAACAAUGUAAUAAUUUUGCCUUACAUGUCCUAAUGCUGACACCAAUUUUUUCAUUGCUCUUGUAUUUUUUUCUGUUUUCUUAUUGCUAUUACUUUUUAUUUUGAUGAUGAAUAAAUCUUAUAUUACGGAUGUA